GGCUCAGAUUGAACGCUGGCGGCAUGCCUUACACAUGCAAGUCGAACGGCAGCACGGGUGCUUGCACCUGGUGGCGAGUGGCGAACGGGUGAGUAAUACAUCGGAACAUGUCCUGUAGUGGGGGAUAGCCCGGCGAAAGCCGGAUUAAUACCGCAUACGAUCCACGGAUGAAAGCGGGGGACCUUCGGGCCUCGCGCUAUAGGGUUGGCCGAUGGCUGAUUAGCUAGUUGGUGGGGUAAAGGCCUACCAAGGCGACGAUCAGUAGCUGGUCUGAGAGGACGACCAGCCACACUGGGACUGAGACACGGCCCAGACUCCUACGGGAGGCAGCAGUGGGGAAUUUUGGACAAUGGGCGAAAGCCUGAUCCAGCAAUGCCGCGUGUGUGAAGAAGGCCUUCGGGUUGUAAAGCACUUUUGUCCGGAAAGAAAUCCUUGGCCCUAAUACAGGCCGGGGGAUGACGGUACCGAAGA
rnacentral:rRNA from 1 species